AUGCUAUGAUGAGGGAAUUUGCGCAACAAUUCCUUAAACUGCUCAUAUGACUCAUAUAAAGAUUCUUCAUCGAGUUGCUGAAAUGGAGUAAUCUCAUUGCAGAGCUU